CUGCGAAAGCCGGAUUAAUACCGCAUACGCCCUGCGGAGGAAAGCGGGGGAUCCUUCGGGACCUCGCGCUACAGGGGCGGCCGAUGGCAGAUUAGCUAGUUGGUGGGGUAAAGGCCUACCAAGGCGACGAUCUGUAGCUGGUCUGAGAGGACGACCAGCCACACUGGGACUGAGACACGGCCCAGACUCCUACGGGAGGCAGCAGUGGGGAAUUUUGGACAAUGGGCGCAAGCCUGAUCCAGCAAUGCCGCGUGUGUGAAGAAGGCCUUCGGGUUGUAAAGCACUUUUGUCCGGAAAGAAAACCUCGUGGUUAAUACCCGUGGGGGAUGACGGUACCGGAAGAAUAAGCACCGGCUAACUACGUGCCAGCAGCCGCGGUAAUACGUAGGGUGCAAGCGUUAAUCGGAAUUACUGGGCGUAAAGCGUGCGCAGGCGGUUCGCUAAGACAGAUGUGAAAUCCCCGGGCUUAACCUGGGAACUGCAUUUGUGACUGGCAAGCUAGAGUAUGGCA
rnacentral:rRNA from 1 species